rnacentral:lncRNA from 1 species
CUUGACAAGACUGAGCACUCCACGGGUACCAGCCCCAUCUCAGGUGCCCAGAGGAAGGCCAGAGACGGGGCUGGGGACUCGGGGCUCGGGGUCACCCCACUGAGGAAGGCUGGGCCAGAGUGUGGUUGCAUGCUCCCAGCAAUGGGAGCCCCCGGGGGUCCUGGUCUCCUGGUGUAGCUGGUCCGCCCCUCCCCAGCAGGGUUCAUGUUCUGCUGCCUCCCGAGUAGCUGGGACUACAGGUGCCACCACACCCAGCUAAUUUUUUUUUUCGUAUUUUUAGUAGGGAUGGGGUUUCACCGUGUUAGCCAGGAUGGUCUCGAUCUCCUGACCUCGUGAUCCGCCCACCUCAGCCUCCCAAAGUGCUGAGAUUACAGGCGUGAGCCACCGUGCCCGGUGUACCGUGCAUUUAUGAGACAAGGUGUUGCUCUGUCACCAAGGCUGGAGUGCAGUGGCGGGAUCACAGCUCACUGCAGCCUCCACCUCCAGAGCUCAAGUGAUCCUCCCGUCUCAGCCUCCUGAGUAGCUGGGACCACAGGCAACCCCACUACACCUGGCUCACAUACAAUUUUUGUGUGGAUGUACCUUUUCCUGCCUCUGUGAAUGUAUAAAACCACUGAAUUGCACACUUUAAAAGAAAGAUUUUAGGGUGUGUGAAUCAUAGCUCAAU